rnacentral:rRNA from 1 species
UACGGGGGGAGCAAGCGUUGUCCGGAUUUAUUGGGCGUAAAGAGCUCGUAGGCGGCUUGUUGCGUCGGCUGUGAAAACCCGUGGCUUAACUGCGGGCUUGCAGCUGAUACGGGCGGGCUAGAGUUCGGUAGGGGAGACUGGAAUUCCUGGUGUAGCGGUGAAAUGCGCAGAUAUCAGGAGGAACACCGGUGGCGAAGGCGGGUCUCUGGGCCGAUACUGACGCUGAGGAGCGAAAGCGUGGGGAGCGAACAGG